CCAAUAGCGUAUAUUAAAGUUGUUGCAGUUAAAAAGCUCGUAGUUGAAUUUCGGGGUUAGUAGGUCGGUCAUGCCACUGGUAUGUACUGGUCUCACUGAUUCCUCCUUCCUGAUGAACCGUAAUGCCAUUAAUUUGGUGUUGCGGGGAGACUGGACUGUUACUUUGAAAAAAUUAGAGUGUUUAAAGCAGGCUAACGCUUGAAUACAUUAGCAUGGAAUAAUGAGAUAGGACGUUCGAUCCUAUUUUGUUGGUUUCUAGGAUUGACGUAAUGAUUAAUAGUGAUAGUUUGGGGCAUUAGUAUUCAAUUGUCAGAGGUGAAAUUCUUGGAUUUAUUGAAGAAUAACUACUGCGAAAGCAUUUGCCAAGGAUGUUUUCAUUAAUCAAGAACGAAAGUUAGGGGCUCGAAGACGAUCAGAUACCGUCGUAGUCUUAACCAUAAACUAUGCCGACUAGGGAUCGGAUGAUGUUAAUUUUUUAAUGACUUAUUCGGCGCCUUACG
rnacentral:rRNA from 1 species